CAAAAACAUCUUUUCUUGUUAGUUUUUGAAGUAUGGCCUGCCCACUGACGUUUAGAGUUGAAGGGCCGCGGUAUUUUGACCGUGCAAAGGUAGCAUAAUCAUUAGUUCUUUAAUUGUGAUCUGGUAUGAAUGGCUUGACGAGACAUGGGCUGUCUUAGGGGUAUUGUUUUGUUGAAUUUGGUUUUUGAGUUAAAAUUCUUAGAUGUUUUUAUGGGACGAGAAGACCCUAUAGAGUUUGACAUUUAUUUUGUUUGUGUUAUGGUUUGUUUUGGUAUUUUUAAGCUAGAUUGAAUGUUUUGUUGGGGUGAUGGGAGGAAUUUUUUUAACUCCUCUUUAUUUUUGUAUAUUUAUGUAUAUUUGUUUGAUCCAUUUGUUUUGAUUAUAAGAUUAAAUUACCUU
rnacentral:rRNA from 1 species